rnacentral:rRNA from 1 species
UCUCAGUUCGGAUUGUAGUCUGCAACUCGACUACAUGAAGCUGGAAUCGCUAGUAAUCGCAGAUCAGAAUGCUGCGGUGAAUACGUUCCCGGGUCUUGUACACACCGCCCGUCACACCAUGGGAGUCGGAAAUGCCCGAAGCCGGUGACCCAACCAAAAGGAGGGAGCCGUCGAAGGCAGGUCUGAUAACUGGGGUGAAGUCGUAACAAGGUACC